rnacentral:rRNA from 1 species
AAUGAACGUUGGCGGCGUGGAUUAGGCAUGCAAGUCGUACGGGCCAGCAAUGGUCAGUGGCGAAAGGGAGAGGAAUACGCAGGUAUCUGCCUCCGGGUCGGGGAUAGCCACGGGAGACUGUGGGUAAUACCCGAUAACGUCUCCGGACCAAAGGUGUGAUUCCACCUGGAGAGGAGCCUGCGUCCUAUUAGCUUGUUGGCGGGGUAAUGGCCCACCAAGGCUACGAUGGGUACGGGGUGUGAGAGCAUGCCCCCGCUCACUGGGACUGAGACACUGCCCAGACACCUACGGGUGGCUGCAGUCGAGAAUCUUCCGCAAUGGGCGCAAGCCUGACGGAGCGACGCCGCGUGUGGGAUGAAGGCCUUCGGGUUGUAAACCACUGUCGUAGAGGAGGAAGGACCGGUGCAGAGCCGGUUUUGACCUAUUCUAGGAGGAAGGGUGGGCUAAGUUCGUGCCAGCAGCCGCCGUAAUAC